rnacentral:rRNA from 1 species
GAUGAACGCUGGCGGCGUGCCUAAUACAUGCAAGUCGAGCGAACGGACGAGAAGCUUGCUUCUCUGAUGUUAGCGGCGGACGGGUGAGUAACACGUGGAUAACCUACCUAUAAGACUGGGAUAAUUUCGGGAAACCGGAGCUAAUACCGGAUAAUAUUUUGAACCGCAUGGUUCAAAAGUGAAAGACGGUCUUGCUGUCACUUAUAGAUGGAUCCGCGCUGCAUUAGCUAGUUGGUAAGGUAACGGCUUACCAAGGCAACGAUGCAUAGCCGACCUGAGAGGGGGUUCGGCCCCCCUGGACCUGGGCACGGGUCCAGACCCCUACGGGAGGCAGCAGUAGGGAUUCUUCCGCAAGGGGCGAAAGCCUGACGGAGCAACGCCGCGUGAGUGAUGAAGGUCUUCGGUUCGUAAACCUCUGUUAUUAGGGAAGAACAUAUUUGUAAGUACUGUGCACAUCUUGACGGUACCUAAUCAGAAAGCCACGGCUAACUACGUG